GAAAAAGGAGGCGACAACUACUAAUGAGGGACCAGCAGCUCUUCUGUUGACAUUUGCUCCUGGGAUAACUCUGCCUUCCAAAGAGAACCUCGUCUCUACGUUUAGGAAAUAUGGUGAUCUGAUCGAGUCUGAAACUGAUUCAGUGCAAAAAUCUGGCUGUGCUCGCGUUGUGUUUGUGAAAAGCAUUGAUGCGGAGAAGGCCUUUAAUAGUCGAAAUAAGACCAAAGAAUUUGGGCCUGCAGUUCCAAGCUACCGUUUGUGCCCCCUAUCAGGAAAUGCGACCUCUCCGCCUCGGCAGACAACUAUGAAGACUCCUCUUCCUUCCAUUAAGAAGGGCCUUCAAAGAAUGAUCUCCAAUCUUACUGUAUCAUCUACGCCGG
rnacentral:misc_RNA from 1 species